UUGUGAGACAGGAUGAGAAGGGAGGAUGGGAGGGAGGAGAACAAAAGUGAAAAUAAAAACUUGAAAGUGUAAACAAUUUCAAAUAGAUAUCAGGUUUUUGUUUUUGUUUUCCCUUUUAUUACUCCUUUCUCCCAUCCUCCCCUCUCAUCUUCCCUCUCAAU
rnacentral:miRNA from 1 species